rnacentral:rRNA from 1 species
AUUGAACGCUGGCGGCAGGCCUAACACAUGCAAGUCGAGCGGAUGAAGGGAGCUUGCUCCUGGAUUCAGCGUCGGACGGGUGAGUAAUGCCUAGGAAUCUGCCUGGUAGUGCGGGAUAACGUCCGGAAACGGGCGCUAAUACCGCAUACGUCCUGAGGGAGCAAGUGGGGGAUCUUCGGACCUCACGCUAUCAGAUGAGCCUAGGUCGGAUUAGCUAGUUGGUGGGGUAAAGGCCUACCAAGGCGACGAUCCGUAACUGGUCGGAGAGGAGGAUCAGUCACACUGGAGCGGAGACACGGUCCAGACUACUACGGGAGGCAGCAGAGGGGAAUAUUGGACAGUGGGCGAGAGCCUGAUCCAGCCAUGCCGCGUGUGUGAAGAAGGUCUUCGGAUUGUGAAGCACUUUAAGUUGGGAGGAAGGGCAGUAAGUUAAUACCUUGCUGUAGUGACGGUACCAACAGAAUAAGCACCGGCUAACUUCGUG